rnacentral:rRNA from 1 species
GACGAACGCUGGCGGCGUGCUUAACACAUGCAAGUCGAACGAAGAGCGACGGAAGCUUGCUUCUAUCAAUCUUAGUGGCGAACGGGUGAGUAACGCGUAAUCAACCUGCCCUUCAGAGGGGGACAACAGUUGGAAACGACUGCUAAUACCGCAUACGAUCUAACCUCGGCAUCGAGGAUAGAUGAAAGGUGGCCUCUACAUGUAAGCUAUCACUGAAGGGGGGGAUUGCGUCUGAUUAGCUAGUUGGAGGGGUAACGGCCCACCAAGGCGAUGAUCAGUAGCCGGUCUGAGAGGAUGAACGGCCACAUUGGGACUGAGACACGGCCCAGACCCCUACGGGAGGCAGCAGUGGGGAAUCUUCCGCAAUGGACGAAAGUCUGACGGAGCAACGCCGCGUGAGUGAUGACGGCCUUCGGGUUGCAAAGCUCUGUUAAUCGGGACGAAAGGCCUUCUUGCGAAUAGUGAGAAGGAUUGACGGUACCGGAAUAGAAAGCCACGGCUAACUACGUG